GGACUAAUAUGUUGGUCGUGCUUUUGUACGUACUGUCAUUAUUGGUUUCUACCUUCUGAAGAACCGCGAUGUCAUUAAUUUGGUGUCGUGGGAAAUCAGGACUGUUACUUUGAAAAAUUAGAGUGUUUAAAGCAGGCUCACGCUUGAAUACAUUAGCAUGGAAUAAUGAAAUAGGACGUUUGAUUCUAUUUUGUUGGUUUCUAGGAUCGACGUAAUGAUU
rnacentral:rRNA from 1 species